rnacentral:ncRNA from 1 species
GUGAGCCAUAUGAUAGAAAACUAUCUCUUAUGGCUCGGAGAGGACUCAGUUGUUAGUUAGUACCCCAUUGGUUUUGGGGUGGACCUUUUCACUCUAU